UACGUAGGGGGCCAGCGUUGCUCGGAAUUACUGGGCGUAAAGGGUUCGUAGGCGGUGCGACAAGUCGGUAGUGAAAUCUCCAGGCUUAACUUGGAGGCUGCUGCCGAAACUGCCGUGCUAGAGUGCAGGAGAGGCGAGUGGAAUUACAGGUGUAGCGGUGAAAUGCGUAGAUAUCUGUAGGAACACCCGUGGCGAAGGCGGCUCGCUGGACUGCAACUGACGCUGAGGAACGAAAGCUAGGGGAGCAAACAGG
rnacentral:rRNA from 1 species